ACGGGAGGCAGCAGUGGGGAAUAUUGCACAAUGGGGGGAACCCUGAUGCAGCGACGCCGCGUGAAGGAAGAAGUAUCUCGGUAUGUAAACUUCUAUCAGCAGGGAAGAAAAUGACGGUACCUGACUAAGAAGCCCCGGCUAACUACGUGCCAGCAGCCGCGGUAAUACGUAGGGGGCAAGCGUUAUCCGGAUUUACUGGGUGUAAAGGGAGCGUAGACGGAUGGACAAGUCUGAUGUGAAAGGCUGGGGCUCAACCCCGGGACUGCAUUGGAAACUGCCUGUCUUGAGUGCCGGAGAGGUAAGCGGAAUUCCUAGUGUAGCGGUGAAAUGCGUAGAUAUUAGGAGGAACACCAGUGGCGAAGGCGGCUUACUGGACGGUAACUGACGUUGAGGCUCGAAAGCGUGGGGAGCAAACAGGAUUAGAUACCCUGGUAGUCCACGCGGUAAACGAUGAAUGUCUAGGUGUCGGGGCAGCAAAGCUCUUCGGUGCC
rnacentral:rRNA from 1 species